AACGAACGCUGGCGGCAUGCCUAACACAUGCAAGUCGAACGAGACCUUCGGGUCUAGUGGCGCACGGGUGCGUAACGCGUGGGAACCUGCCCUUAGGUUCGGAAUAACUCCCCGAAAGGGGUGCUAAUACCGGAUAAUGUCUUCGGACCAAAGAUUUAUCGCCUUUGGAUGGGCCCGCGUUGGAUUAGCUAGUUGGUAGGGUAAAAGCCUACCAAGGCGACGAUCCAUAGCUGGUCUGAGAGGAUGAUCAGCCACACUGGGACUGGGACACGACCCAGACGCGUACGGGAGGCGGCAAAGAGUGAUAAAGGACCGGGGGCGUGAGGCUGAACCAGCAAGGGCGGGAUGAUGAUGAAGGCGUUGUAGUCCUAAAGCACUAUUAGCCAGGAUGGUAGUGACGGUACCGGGAGAAGAAGCACCGGCUAACUCCGUG
rnacentral:rRNA from 1 species